rnacentral:rRNA from 1 species
AUACGUAGGGAGCAAGCGUUGUCCGGAAUUACUGGGUGUAAAGGGAGCGUAGGCGGGAUCGUAAGUUGGAUGUUUAAUCUACCGGCUCAACUGGUAGCUGCAUCCAAAACUACGAUUCUUGAGUGAAGUAGAGGCAGGCGGAAUUCCUAGUGUAGCGGUGAAAUGCGUAGAUAUUAGGAGGAACACCAGUGGCGAAGGCGGCCUGCUGGGCUUUAACUGACGCUGAGGCUCGAAAGCGUGGGGAGC